rnacentral:tRNA from 1 species
GGGGAUGUAGCUCAGUGGCACAGCACUUGCCUGGCAAGCGCCCCGGGUUUGAUUCCCGGUCCCA